UUUGAUCGACCCCAGCCACAGCGGCUGCUCGGCGGGACGAUCCUGCCCGUAGGUGGCGAUAAGUGCCUGCGCUUC
rfam:Nocardia donostiensis strain X1655 2, whole genome shotgun sequence.